rnacentral:rRNA from 1 species
CCUACGGGGGGCAGUAGUGGGGAAUAUUGGACAAUGGGGGGAACCCUGAUCCAGCCAUGCCGCGUGUGUGAAGAAGGCCCUCGGGUUGUAAAGCACUUUCAGUGAGGAAGAACGCCUGGUGGUUAAUACCCAUCAGGAAAGACAUCACUCACAGAAGAAGCACCGGCUAACUCCGUGCCAGCAGCCGCGGUAAUACGGAGGGUGCGAGCGUUAAUCGGAAUUACUGGACGUAAAGCGCGCGUAGGUGGCUUGAUAAGCCGGUUGUGAAAGCCCCGGGCUCAACCUGGGAACGGCAUCCGGAACUGUCAAGCUAGAGUGCAGGAGAGGAAGGUAGAAUUCCCGGUGUAGCGGUGAAAUGCGUAGAGAUCGGGAGGAAUACCAGUGGCGAAGGCGGCCUUCUGGACUGACACUGACACUGAGGUGCGAAAGCGUGGGUAGCAAACAGGAUUAGAUACCCCAGUAGUC